rnacentral:rRNA from 1 species
UACGGAGGGGGCUAGCGUUGUUCGGAAUUACUGGGCGGAAAGCGCACGUAGGCGGCUUUGCAAGUUAGAGGUGAAAGCCCGGGGCUCAACUCCGGAAUUGCCUUUAAAACUGCAUCGCUAGAAUUGUGGAGAGGUAAGUGGAAUUCCGAGUGUAGAGGUGAAAUUCGUAGAUAUUCGGAAGAACACCAGUGGCGAAGGCGACUUACUGGACACAUAUUGACGCUGAGGUGCGAAAGCGUGGGGAGCAAACAGG